rnacentral:rRNA from 1 species
CCUACGGGAGGCAGCAGUGAGGAAUAUUGGUCAAUGGGAGGAAUCCUGAACCAGCCAUGCCGCGUGCAGGACGACUGCUCUACGAGUUGUAAACUGCUUUUGUACCGGGGUAAAAUGCCUUACGUGUAGGGUUUUGAAAGUACUGUAUGAAUAAGGAUCGGCUAACUCCGUGCCAGCAGCCGCGGUAAUACGUAGGGGGCAAGCGUUAUCCGGAUUUACUGGGUGUAAAGGGGGCGCAGAUGGCGAUUCAAGUCAGGAGUGAAAGCUCGGGGCUCAACCCUGAGACUGCACUUGGUACUGGGUGGCUGGAGUGCAGGAGGGGCAGGCGGAAUUCGUGGUGUAGCGGUGAAAUGCGUAGAUAUCAGGAGGAACACCGGUGGCGAAGGCAGCCUGCUAAACUGCAACUGACGUUGAUGCCCGAAAGCGUGGGGAGCAAACAGGAUUAGAUACCCUUGUAGUC